rnacentral:miRNA from 1 species
GAAAUACCUCCAUGAGAUCCAUCUAUAAGGCAUUUCCUCAACUAGUGAGCAAUGGGGGCGGGCCAUUGUGGGUGGUACCAUCCCUGAGCUGGUAGUCCUG